ACUAGGCAAACUGACCCUGUAACUUCGGGAUAAAGGGUCCUCGCUUAACGGCGAGGCGCAGAGAAUAGGUCCAGGCAACUGUUUAACAAAAACACAGGGCUGUGCAAAAUUGAAAGAUGAAGUAUACAGCCUGACACCUGCCCGGUGCUGGAAGGUUAAGAGGAGAUGUCAUCGCAAGAGAAGCAUUGAAUUGAAGCCCCAGUAAACGGCGGCCGUAACUAUAACGGUCCUAAGGUAGCGAAAUUCCUUGUCGGGUAAGUUCCGACCCGCACGAAUGGUGUAACGAUUUGGGUACUGUCUCAACAAGGGACCCGGCGAAAUUGUAGUAUGUGUGAAGAUGCACAUUACCCGCGAUAGGACGGAAAGACCCCGUAGAGCUUUACUGUAGUUUAACAUUGGAUUCCGGUAACAUAUGCACAGGAUAGGUGGGAGGCGGAGAAGCAGUGAUUUCGGUUGCUGCAGAGCCGACGUUGGGAUACCACUCUUGUGUUACUGGGGUUCUAACCUGUGGCCGUGAUCCGGCACAGGAACAGUGUUAGAUGGGCAGUUUGACUGGGGCGGUCGCCUCCAAAAGAGUAACGGAGGCGUCCAAAGGUUCCCUCAGAAUGGUUGGAAACCAUUCGAAGAGUGCAAAGGCAGAAGGGAGCUUGACUGCGAGACCGACGGGUCGAGCAGUAACGAAAGUUGGAGUUAGUGAUCCGGUGGUAUGUGAGUGGAAAUGCCAUCGCUCAACGGAUAAAAGUUACCCUGGGGAUAACAGGCUGAUCUCCCCCAAGAGUCCACAUCGACGGGGAGGUUUGGCACCUCGAUGUCGGCUCAUCGCAUCCUGGGGCUGUAUUCGGUCCCAAGGGUUUGGCUGUUCGCCAAUUAAAGCGGCACGCGAGCUGGGUUCAGAACGUCGUGAGACAGUUCGGUCGCUAUCCAUCGUGGGCGCAGGAGAUUUGAGAAGAGCUGUCCUCAGUACGAGAGGACCGGGAUGGACGCACCAAGGGUGUAUCAGUUGUCACGCCAGUGGCACAGCUGGGUAGCCAAGUGCGGAUCGGAUAAACGCUGAAGGCAUCUAAGCGUGAAGCCGACUUCAAGAUAAGAUCUCCCAUCCGCAAGGAGUAAGGCCCCAUGUAGACCACAUGGUUGAUAGGUCGCAGGUGGAAGUGCAGUAAUGUACGCAGCUGAGCGAUACUAAUAGGCCGAGGGCUUGAUCAA
rnacentral:rRNA from 1 species